GUUUACCAAAAACAUGGCUUCCUGUAAAUGAAACAAAAUAGGGAGUCGGACCUGCCCGGUGAAAUUUUAACGGCCGCGGUACUCUGACCGUGCAAAGGUAGCAUAAUCAUUUGCCUUAUAAUUGAAGGCUAGUAUGAAUGGUUUGACAAGAAUAUAGCUGUCUCUUUAUAAUUUUAUAGAAUUUUAUCUUAAGGUGAAGAAGCUUUAAUUUAAUUAAAAGACAAGAAGACCCUAUCGAGCUUUAGAAAAAUUUAUAGGAAUUAAUUAAUAAUAGCUUAAAAAAUUAACUAUUAAAUACUUUGGUUGGGGCGACUAAGGAACAAAUAAAGCUUCCUUUAAAUAAUAACAUACAUACAGGUAUUGAUCCAAAAUUUUUGAUUAAAGAAAUUAGUUACCGUAGGGAUAACAGCAUUAUCUUUUUUGAGAGCUCUUAUCGAAAAAAAGGUUUGUGACCUCGAUGUUGGACCAGAAUAUCCUAAAGAUGCAGAAGUCUUUAAGGGUUGGUCUGUUCGACCAUUAAAAUUCUACGUGAUCUGAGUUCAGACCGG
rnacentral:rRNA from 1 species